AGAUUGAACGCUGGCGGCGUGCUUAACACAUGCAAGUCGAGCGGUAACGCGGGAGCAAUCCUGGCGACGAGCGGCGAACGGGUGAGUAAUGCUUGGGAAUCUGCCCAUUAGUGGGGAACAACCAGCCGAAAGGUUGGCUAAUACCGCAUACGCCCUACGGGGGAAAGCGGGGGAUCGUAAGACCUCGCGCUAAUGGAUGAGCCCAAGUCGGAUUAGCUUGUUGGUAGGGUAACGGCCUACCAAGGCGACAAUCCGUAGC
rnacentral:rRNA from 1 species